rnacentral:tRNA from 1 species
GGAGGUGUAGCUCAGUGGCAGAGCACUCGUCUGAUACGCGAGCGGCCGAAGGUUCGACUCCUUCCACCUCCACCA